GAUGAACGCUGGCGGCGUGCCUAAUACAUGCAAGUCGAGCGAACCCUUCGGGGUUAGCGGCGGACGGGUGAGUAACACGUGGGCAACCUACCUUACAGAUGGGGAUAACACCGAGAAAUCGGUGCUAAUACCGAAUAACACUUCACUUCACAUGGAGAGAAGUUAAAAGUUGGCUUUUAGCUAACACUGCAAGAUGGGCCCGCGGCGCAUUAGCUAGUUGGUGAGGUAACGGCUCACCAAGGCAACGAUGCGUAGCCGACCUGAGAGGGUGAUCGGCCACACUGGGACUGAGACACGGCCCAGACUCCUACGGGAGGCAGCAGUAGGGAAUCUUCCGCAAUGGACGAAAGUCUGACGGAGCAACGCCGCGUGAGUGAUGAAGGUUUUCGGAUCGUAAAACUCUGUUGUUAGGGAAGAACAAGUACCGUUCGAAUAGGGCGGUACCAUGACGGUACCUAACCAGAAAGCCACGGCUAACUACGUGCCAGCAGCCGCGGUAAUACGUAGGUGGCAAGCGUUAUCCGGAAUUAUUGGGCGUAAAGCGCUCGCAGGCGGUUUCUUAAGUCUGAUGUGAAAGCCCACGGCUCAACCGUGGAGGGUCAUUGGAAACUGGGAGACUUGAGUGCAGAAGAGGAGAGUGGAAUUCCACGUGUAGCGGUGAAAUGCGUAGAGAUGUGGAGGAACACCAGUGGCGAAGGCGACUCUCUGGUCUGUAACUGACGCUGAGGAGCGAAAGCGUGAGGAGCAAACAGGAUUAGAUACCCUGGUAGUCCACGCCGUAAACGAUGAGUGCUAAGUGUUAGAGGGUUUCCGCCCUUUAGUGCUGAAGUUAACGCAUUAAGCACUCCGCCUGGGGAGUACGGUCGCAAGACUG
rnacentral:rRNA from 1 species